UACGAAGGGGGCUAGCGUUGUUCGGAAUUACUGGGCGUAAAGCGCACGUAGGCGGAUAUUUAAGUCAGGGGUGAAAUCCCGCAGCUCAACUGCGGAACUGCCUUUGAUACUGGGUAUCUUGAGUAUGGAAGAGGUAAGUGGAAUUCCGAGUGUAGAGGUGAAAUUCGUAGAUAUUCGGAGGAACACCAGUGGCGAAGGCGGCUUACUGGUCAAUUACUGACGCUGAGGUGAGAAAGCGUGGGGAGCAAACAGG
rnacentral:rRNA from 1 species